GACGAACGCUGGCGGCGUGCCUAAUACAUGCAAGUGGGACGCAAGGAAACACACUGUGCUUGCACACCGUGUUUUCUUGAGUCGCGAACGGGUGAGUAACGCGUAGGUAACCUGCCUAUUAGCGGGGGAUAACUAUUGGAAACGAUAGCUAAUACCGCAUAAUAUUAAUUAUUGCAUGAUAAUUGAUUGAAAGAUGCAAGCGCAUCACUAGUAGAUGGACCUGCGUUGUAUUAGCUAGUUGGUAAGGUAAGAGCUUACCAAGGCGACGAUACAUAGCCGACCUGAGAGGGUGAUCGGCCACACUGGGACUGAGACACGGCCCAGACUCCUACGGGAGGCAGCAGUAGGGAAUCUUCGGCAAUGGACGAAAGUCUGACCGAGCAGCGCCGCGGGAGUGAAGAAGGUUGUCGGAUCGUAAAGCUCUGUUGUAAGUCAAGAACGUGUGUGAGAGUGGAAAGUUCACACAGUGACGGUAGCUUACCAGAAAGGGACGGCUAACUACGUG
rnacentral:rRNA from 1 species